rnacentral:rRNA from 1 species
UGGGGAAUAUUGGACAAUGGGCGAAAGCCUGAUCCAGCCAUGCCGCGUGUGUGAAGAAGGUCUUCGGAUUGUAAAGCACUUUAAGUUGGGAGGAAGGGCAGUUACCUAAUACGUAUCUGUUUUGACGUUACCGACAGAAUAAGCACCGGCUAACUCUGUGCCAGCAGCCGCGGUAAUACAGAGGGUGCAAGCGUUAAUCGGAAUUACUGGGCGUAAAGCGCGCGUAGGUGGUUUGUUAAGUUGGAUGUGAAAUCCCCGGGCUCAACCUGGGAACUGCAUUCAAAACUGACAAGCUAGAGUAUGGUAGAGGGUGGUGGAAUUUCCUGUGUAGCGGUGAAAUGCGUAGAUAUAGGAAGGAACACCAGUGGCGAAGGCGACCACCUGGACUGAUACUGACACUGAGGUGCGAAAGCGUGGGGAGCAAACAGGAUUAGAUACCCGAGUAGUCCCUGAGCGGGCUGGCAAGGCGCAU